AGAAACUGAGCCUGUUGUGAUACAUCUCCUCCCACAAGACCAUACAUCCCACCUUCCUAAAUAGUCUACCAACUGAAAAACAAAUAGUCAAUCUAUGAGCCUGAGUGCCAGUUCUUACUCAAACAACAACGUUAAUUACUUUGAUUUGGGGUUUGUUUUUGUUUGUGUAGCUCUAAUGUUCCCCUGUGUGCAUUAGGUAUUUCCCUUGUACCAAGGUUCCCUAUGGGGGUGACAUUCAGUUUUGACAUAGCUUGUACAGUAAGUUUUUCUAGUUUUUCUUUCUUUUUAAUCGGUGUGUUUAUAGUAAUCUGGGUUUCCCUUAAUUCUUUGUUCUCUCUGGUUUAAAUUUAGACAUGCCUGGGGCAGUUUCCCUUGGAAAGUUGGGAACUCUUAUCAGCAACAGUAAUUCUCCAUUAGGUCUGUGGCUCUAGGCUUAUGUGGCCUACAGGAGGAUCAGGAGUUCAAGCUCAUCCUAGACCCAAUAGCAACUUUGUGGCAAUGAGAAUGAGACUGGCUCUCCCCAGGGUAUACAGCUCUUUGAAAGGAUUAGAAGGAUUAAAAGUCAGGAUACAACUCUCAACCACUACUCCAGCAUUAUGCCUGCUCUGCUCCUGCCAUGAAGAUGGUGGACUAAACCUCUGAAACUGUAAGCAAGUAACCAAUUAAAUGCUCUCUUUUAUAAGAG